CGGAGUGGGUCCAUGGGAACCUGAGUAACCCUCUUCACCAAAUUGCGAAGCGUCUGGGAGCAUUUACGCCAUAUGAACCUUACCACCUCAAAAAAUCCAGACUGGCGACCAACGACGGCCAACGAAUCAACGCCUCGGCUUUUGAUUUAGUGGAUCUUGUCCUGGAAGGCAGCGAAGACGAGCCCAACAGGAACGUCCAGGAGUAUCUUAACAGGAGCAUCGGAGAGUAUUGCGCUGACCAGUUCCACGACAAAUUCGAAAAGCAUUUUCCUACGACCGCAGGCCUCAACGUUUCUCUGAGUGAGGCGUGGCUUCACUUCCUGGAGUCGAUGAUCAGUUACGAUUGGGGAUUCGACAGUUGGAAGGACAUUUCCAUGGGUUCUUUGAUGCAGUACGAACUAUACGGCGACGAGUACUAUCAGUGGAAAAACGGAUACGACACUUUCAUCGAUUACCUCAGGACAUCUAUCCCCGACGACCUUAUUCAAACCUCAUCUCCGGUCAGCAAGAUUUUCUGGGACGAAGAGGAUGAAAACAGCAGCAGUCGCGUGCUCAUCGUUGCUGAG